AUGCAAGUCGAGCGAACGGACGAGAAGCUUGCUUCUCUGAUGUUAGCGGCGGACGGGUGAGUAACACGUGGAUAACCUACCUAUAAGACUGGGAUAACUUCGGGAAACCGGAGCUAAUACCGGAUAAUAUUUUGAACCGCAUGGUUCAAAAGUGAAAGACGGUCUUGCUGUCACUUAUAGAUGGAUCCGCGCUGCAUUAGCUAGUUGGUAAGGUAACGGCUUACCAAGGCAACGAUGCAUAGCCGACCUGAGAGGGUGAUCGGCCACACUGGAACUGAGACACGGUCCAGACUCCUACGGGAGGCAGCAGUAGGGAAUCUUCCGCAAUGGGCGAAAGCCUGACGGAGCAACGCCGCGUGAGUGAUGAAGGUCUUCGGAUCGUAAAACUCUGUUAUUAGGGAAGAACAUAUGUGUAAGUAACUGUGCACAUCUUGACGGUACCUAAUCAGAAAGCCACGGCUAACUACGUGCCAGCAGCCGCGGUAAUACGUAGGUGGCAAGCGUUAUCCGGAAUUAUUGGGCGUAAAGCGCGCGUAGGCGGUUUUUUAAGUCUGAUGUGAAAGCCCACGGCUCAACCGUGGAGGGUCAUUGGAAACUGGAAAACUUGAGUGCAGAAGAGGAAAGUGGAAUUCCAUGUGUAGCGGUGAAAUGCGCAGAGAUAUGGAGGAACACCAGUGGCGAAGGCGACUUUCUGGUCUGUAACUGACGCUGAUGUGCGAAAGCGUGGGGAUCAAACAGGAUUA
rnacentral:rRNA from 1 species